rnacentral:rRNA from 1 species
UACGGGGGGGGCAAGCGUUGUUCGGAAUUACUGGGCGUAAAGGGCUCGUAGGCGGCCAACUAAGUCAUACGUGAAAUCCCUCGGCUUAACCGGGGAACUGCGUCUGAUACUGGAUGGCUUGAGAUUGGGAGAGGGAUGCGGAAUUCCAGGUGUAGCGGUGAAAUGCGUAGAUAUCAGGAAGAACACCAAUGGCGAAGGCAGCUCUCUGGGACGGUACUGACGCUGAGACGCGAAAGCGUGGGGAGCGAACAGG